GUCCUCGGGGGUCCAGCGGGACCGAGUCAUUGGAACCAGAACACCUGGCGGAAGCAUGCCAUAUCACUAGAAGGAUUUUCUUUCUCUUCGCCUUCUGUUCCUUCCUUCCUUUCCUUUUUCUAAGAGGGCUGGAAUUGGCUGCCUGUGUGAGCCGAGGAGCUGGGCGGGAGAGGAAAGCCGCCCCGCUCUCUCCCCUGCCCGAGGUCUCCAGCUCCCGCGCUGCAGCCGGACUCGCUCCCGUUCCUCGGCCUCUCGGCCUCCCGCUCCCAUCGGUUUUUCCUCCCUCCACCAUCUUCUCGGUUUAAUUAAAGUUCAGCGACUCCACUUGCCUUUCCUUCCACUCUCGUGUUGUGUUUUGUUUUGUUUUGUUUUUUCUCGGAAAGCAGACAGCAGACGGCCCAGCGGCCACGGGCCCAGCGGCCCCAGCACAGCCCGGGCCUGCCGCCGGUGGGGCCUCCCCUAGCCGGCCUCCCUCCGGCGACCGCCUUCUGGACCGGGCCCCCUGCCACUCCACCGUCCGGAAGGUGUGCAGCCGCUGGCCUGGGGGAUCUGAACGCCGGGGGCUGGGGUAAGAGUGUCCUGUCUGCCCCUGUACCCCCAGGCUUGCUCCAGAGAGUUUGAAGGGUGUCUACCCGGCCUCAGACAACCCGCUCCCCCAAACCCAUGACCAACUAAUCUAUGACAAAAGCCCGUGAUGGAUUUGGUAUAUGUUAAUUCACAAUGCCCUUUCCUCCAGAAUUUAACUAUAAGUUAAUACACACCGGAAACCACGCGCAUACACGGCCGUUAAUGGGCUUAGGUAUUAGCGAGUCCUAACGAUGCAUACAGAUGUGCUCUGCGCUCUGUAGGCCCCUCAAGAUUUAUGGGCCUUGAGCUCUCUGAAGCUGUAAACAAGGAGAAAAAAGAGAAAGAGAGAGAGACUGGGGAAAAGAGACAGGGGCCUGACUCACCCUUCCAGGUUGUGGGAGAGAAGGGAUCUUUGCAAGUGGGUUUCACUUAUUUUCCUUUCCUUACCAGCUCCCCUCGCUCACUCGUGGGUUUUGGCAGGGUCUGGGGGUGGUGUUUGUGCCUGAAAGCUGGUGUGCGCGCGGCAGUGUGUUGUUUGCAUGCUGGGGUAGGCGAUGUCUGCCUCCUGUGAAUUGCUGUGCAGGGCCUGAAUGGAGCAGGCACUUGUGGGCAUAUGCUAUGUGUGCACACCUGCAAGGUGUGUGUGUGUGUGUGUGUGUGUGUGUGUGUGUGUGUGUGUACACGUGUGACAAGCAGGCUUCCCUCUGGGUCUGGCUGCUGUACCUGAACCCAGUGAACAAAUCUCCAACAACAAUCAUAAUAACGAUAAAUAAAAACAGUAGUUAACAGCCCCUCCCUAGCAGGAUAACAGUAAAAUGCAAGAGGAGAUAUUUUAAAGAGGGGAUGGGGAAGGGGUCAUGGUCACAGAAUCUGAGGGGAAGACAGGAAAAGAAGUUAGCUUCUUCGUAUAUCCUUGGGGGCUGGGUUUGGGACCCCCCAGAGGAGGUUCUUCAGCCAGAGGAGCCGAGGGAGGCCAGGAGGCCGAUCUUUCCUGCUGCUUUUUUCCAGCUUUUGCUUCGUGUGAUCAGGGGAGGGCUGGUGGCUUUGGGGACUUUCUGAAGCCCCUGUUUUAAAGAGAAGACCAACCAUGUAGGGUCAGGCCAAGGGACAGACAUGGAUAAGGCAAUGACCACAGCUGGGCCCAUUGUGCCGGGAGGUGGAGGUGCCCUGGAGGACGAGCGCGGCCCGGCCAGGCAGGGGUGGGAUUUAUGGCCGCGGAGAGAGGGGAGAGCAAGGGCAGGGCUCCGGUAGGCCCAGCGAAAGUUCCCUUCCAAGGGUCUUUGGAGAGAGAGAGAGAGAGAGAGAGAGAGAGAGAGAGAGAAAGGAAAAAGAAGAAGGAGAAAGGGGUGGAGGCCCGUUGAAAUUUCCUUGGCUCGCGCUAGAACAGAGCGAAUUUCCCUAACGGAAGAGAAGACACGGUCCGGAUCCUUCCAUGGACGCCUCACUCUCUCCAGCCGGUGACCCAUCUGGUCAGAAAAGAGACGGAGAGAUACGCUUCCCACCGCGUCACUCCUUUGAAAGCAGUGCACACACCGAUUCCACAGAGAACCGGGGCAUCCUCGAAUUUGAAAACCACACGGGGUGGAGGACACUACGGCCUCUCCGCUUGCCCGAGCUCUCGGCCACCAGGAGACGGACACAGAAGGAGCGUGUGGGCUGCCGACUCCUGCAGGGCUUCCCAGAGUCCAGCCACCUCAACCCUCCUUGGGGGGAAUAUCGGUGCCAGACACCUCUGUGCCCUGUCAGAUGUGACUGCGCUCACGUCAGGAUUGUCUUACAAAGAAGAAGAAGAAAAGCCGGGUGUUUAUAGCUAGUUCUACUGAUCCGUUCACAUCUGGAGAGUUUAUUUAUAACUCCCACUAGAACUCUCUCUGUUUGGAAGCACUGGUGGCUCUAUUGACAGACUGAUGCCUAGAAAAUAUUGCUCUAUCUCUAACCAUACCUAAAUGUGCUGUGGUUGUAUUUACAGAUUUAUGCUCGAGGAAAAUAUAAUUAUUUCCAUUGUGUUUGUGCAUAUACAAUAGUUACAGGAGCAGAUUUAUAUAUGGGAAAAUAUACGACUCUCUUAUAGCCAUCCAGCUUUAUGGACAUUUGAUAUCCUGACAGAUUUAUAUCUCUGAGCAGCUAUAUAGAUAAAUGUAUAUCGUUGGAAUUACAUACCAGGAGAUAUAUACUUAUUGAUUGUGAUAUAGAGUGGUUAGAGCAUUCACUUAAA